rnacentral:rRNA from 1 species
GACGAACGCUGGCGGCGUGCUUAACACAUGCAAGUCGAGCGGUAAGGCCCUUUCGGGGGUACACGAGCGGCGAACGGGUGAGUAACACGUGGGUGACCUGCCCUCAGCUCUGGGAUAAGCCUGGGAAACCGGGUCUAAUACUGGAUAUGACUCCAUGACGCAUGUUGGUGGGGUGGAAAGCCUUGUGCGGCUGAGGAUGGGCCCGCGGCCUAUCAGCUUGUUGGUGGGGGUGANGGCCUACCAAGGCGACGACGGGUAGCCGGCCUGAGAGGGCGACCGGCCACACUGGGACUGAGACACGGCCCAGACUCCUACGGGAGGCAGCAGUGGGGAAGUCUUGCGCAAUGGGCGAAAGCCUGACGCAGCGACGCCGCGUGAGGGAUGACGGCCUU